rnacentral:rRNA from 1 species
AGAGCGUAGGGUGAAUGCCUUGGCAUUAAGAGCCGAAGAAGGACGCGGUUAACUGCGAAAAGCCAUGGGGAGCUGUAAGCAAGCAUUGAUCCAUGGAUAUCCGAAUGGGGAAACCCGGCACAUGCGAGUGUGUCACCGUUACAUGAAUCCAUAGUGUAACGGGGGGAACCCGGUGAACUGAAACAUCUAAGUAGCCGGAGGAAGAGAAAGAAACAUCGAUUUUCUAAGUAGCGGCGAGCGAACGGGAAAGAGCCCAAACCGCGGGUCUACGGACCUGCGGGGUAAGGACCUGCAGGAUCGGGGAGCUGUAUAGUCGAAGCGCGCUGGAAAGCGCAGCCAGAGACGGUAAAAGCCCGGUAGGCGAAAUACAGCGAACGAGGCAGGGAUCCGGAGUACCACAGGACACGAGGAAUCCGGUGGGAAGGCGGGGGGACCACCCCCCAAGGCUAAAUACUACUUGGUGACCGAUAGCGAAGAGUACCGUGAGGGAAAGGUGAAAAGCACCCCGGGAGGGGAGUGAAAGAGAACCUGAAACCCUGUGUUUACAAGCAGAGGGAGCGCAAGCAAGGCGCGACUUCGUACUUUUUGUAGAACGGACCGGCGAGUUGCGUUAUGUUGCGAGGUUAAGGUCUUAAGGACUGGAGCCGAAGCGAAAGCGAGUCUGAAGAGGGCGAAAGUAACAUGACGCAGACCCGAAACCGGGCGACCUAUCCAUGGGCAGGUUGAAGUGAAGGUAAAGCUUCAUGGAGGACCGAACCAGACGUCCGUUGAAAAGGGCGGGGAUGACCUGUGGAUAGCGGAGAAAUUCCAAUCGAGCUCGGAUAUAGCUGGUUCUCCUCGAAAUAGCUUUAGGGCUAGCCUCGGAUUAGUCUGGUGGGGGUAGAGCACUGAAUGGGCUAGGGGGUCUCAAAGCUUACCGAACCCUAUCAAACUGCGAAUACCACAAAGACGAUGUCCGGGAGUCAGACUGCGAGUUAUAAGAUCCGUAGUCAAAAGGGAAACAGCCCAGAUCGACAGCUAAGGUCCCCAAGUGUGUGUUAAGUGGAAAAGGAUGUGUGAUUGCACAGACAACCAGGAUGUUGGCUUAGAAGCAGCCACUCAUUUAAAGAGUGCGUAAUAGCUCACUGGUCGAGUGAUCCUGCGCCGAAAAUUUCCGGGGCUAAAACGUACUACCGAAGCUACGGCAUCAUUUAUGAUGGGUAGGGGAGCUUCGUAUGCAGGCUGAAGCAUGACCGUAAGGACAUGUGGACAGUAUACGAGUGAGAAUGUUGGCAUGAGUAGCGAGACGUGGGUGAGAAUCCCACGGGCCGUAAACCCAAGGUUUCCAGGGGAAGGUUCGUCCGCCCUGGGUUAGUCGGGACCUAAGCCGAGGCCGAAAGGCGUAGGUGAUGGACAACAGGUUGAUAUUCCUGUACCGCCAAUAAGCGUUUGAGAGAUGGAGUGACACAGUAGGAUAAGCUAACCGUACUGUUGGUUAUGUACGGCUAAGCAUUGAGGCAGUCUAAAUAGGCAAAUCCGUUUAGACAAUGCUAGGAUGUGAUGGGGAAGCCCUUCGGGGCGAAGUAGCUGAUUUCACACUGUCAAGAAAAGCUUCUAUCGAGUUUAAAGGCGCCCGUACCGUAAACCGACACAGGUGGGUGAGGAGAGUAUCCUAAGGCCAGCGAGAGAACUAUUGUUAAGGAACUCGGCAAAAUGACCCCGUAACUUAGGGAGAAGGGGUGCCUGUCUAUGACAGGCCGCAGAGAAUAGGCCCAAGCGACUGUUUACCAAAAACACAGGUUUCUGCUAAGUCGCAAGACGAUGUAUAGGAGCUGACGCCUGCCCGGUGCUGGAAGGUUAAGGGGAUCUGUUAGAGCAAUCGAAGCAGUGAACUUAAGCCCCAGUAAACGGCGGCCGUAACUAUAACGGUCCUAAGGUAGCGAAAUUCCUUGUCGGGUAAGUUCCGACCCGCACGAAAGGCGUAACGAUUUGGGCACUGUCUCAACAAUAGACUCGGUGAAAUUGUAAUCCCGGUGAAGAUGCCGGGUACCUGCGACAGGACGGAAAGACCCCAUGGAGCUUUACUGUAGCUUGACGUUGGGUCUUGGUACUACAUGUACAGGAUAGGUGGGAGACUAUGAAGCAUGGACGCCAGUCUGUGUGGAGUCAUCCUUGGGAUACCACCCUUGUAGUACUGGGAUCCUAACCAUAGGCCUUGAAUCAGGUCUUGGAACACCGUCAGGUGGGCAGUUUGACUGGGGCGGUCGCCUCCUAAAAAGUAACGGAGGCGCUCAAAGGUUUCCUCAGCACGGUCGGAAAUCGUGCGAAGAGUGUAAAGGCAAAAGGAAGCUUGAUUGCAAGACAUACAGGUCGAGCAAGGACGAAAGUCGGACUUAGUGAUCCGGUGGUACCGCAUGGAAGGGCCAUCGCUCAACGGAUAAAAGCUACCCUGGGGAUAACAGGCUUAUCUCCCCCAAGAGUCCACAUCGACGGGGAGGUUUGGCACCUCGAUGUCGGCUCAUCACAUCCUGGGGCUGAAUUCGGUCCCAAGGGUUCGGCUGUUCGCCGAUUAAAGUGGUACGCGAGCUGGGUUCAGAACGUCGUGAGACAGUUCGGUCCCUAUCCGUCGCAGGCGUAGGAAAUUUGAGAAGACCUGUCCUUAGUACGAGAGGACCGGGAUGGACGUACCUCUGGUGUACCAGUUGUUCUGCCAAGGGCAUGGCUGGGUAGCUAUGUACGGAAUGGAUAAGCGCUGAAAGCAUCUAAGCGCGAAGCCAACUUCAAGAUAAGAUUUCCCACCGUAAGGGUAAGACCCCAGGAAGACUACCUGGUUGA